UAUAUACUCCCUCCGUCCCAAAUUAUUUGUCGCAGAAAUGGAUGUAUCUAGACAUAUUUUUAGUUCUAGAUACAUCCAUUUCUAUCCAUUUUCAGGACGUAAUUCGGGCGGGGGAGUACUUG
rnacentral:pre_miRNA from 1 species